UGGUCAAGCUACAAAGGGCUAAUGGUGGAU
rnacentral:rRNA from 4 species